UGGGGAAUAUUGGACAAUGGGGGCAACCCUGAUCCAGCAAUGCCGCGUGUGUGAAGAAGGUUUUCGGAUUGUAAAGCACUUUCGGCGGGGACGAUGAUGACGGUACCCGCAGAAGAAGCCCCGGCUAACUUCGUGCCAGCAGCCGCGGUAAUACGAAGGGGGCUAGCGUUGCUCGGAAUGACUGGGCGUAAAGGGCGUGUAGGCGGUUUGUACAGUCAGAUGUGAAAUCCCCGGGCUUAACCUGGGAGCUGCAUUUGAUAC
rnacentral:rRNA from 1 species